rnacentral:rRNA from 1 species
UACAGAGGUCCCAAGCGUUGUUCGGAAUUAUUGGGCGUAAAGGGUGCGUAGGCGGUCGGGUAAGUCUGAUGUGAAAUCUCACAGCUUAACUGUGAAACUGCAUUGGAUACUAUCCGGCUCGAGGAAUGGAGGGGAGACUGGAAUACUUGGUGUAGCAGUGAAAUGCGUAGAUAUGUGGAGGAACACCGAUGGCGAAGGCAGCCCCCUGGGUCAAAACUGACGCUCAUGCACGAAAGCGUGGGGAGCAAACAGG